rnacentral:rRNA from 11 species
GCGACCGAUAGUGAACCAGUACCGUGAGGGAAAGGUGAAAAGCACCCCGACAAGGGGAGUGAAACAGACCCUGAAACUGGACGCCUACAAGCAGUCGGAGGGCGCAAGCCUGACGGCGUACCUUUUGUAUAAUGGGUCAGCGACUUCGUCUCUCGAGCAAGCUUAAGCCGAUAGGUGUAGGCGUAGCGAAAGCGAGUCUUAAUAGGGCGACUGAGUUCGAGGGAUGAGACCCGAAGCCGGGUGAUCUAGCCAUGAGCAGGUUGAAGGUGAGGUAACACUCACUGGAGGACCGAACCCACGUCUGUUGAAAAAGACGGGGAUGACUUGUGGCUAGGGGUGAAAGGCCAAUCAAACUCGGAAAUAGCUGGUUCUCCGCGAAAUCUAUUUAGGUAGAGCGUCUCGUGAAUACCCAUGGGGGUAGAGCACUGGAUGGGCUAGGGGGUCCCAACGACUUACCAAACCUAACCAAACUCCGAAUACCAUGGAGUAAUGCGAGGCAGACACACUGCGGGUGCUAAGGUCCGUAGUGAAAAGGGAAACAGCCCUGACCGCCAGCUAAGGUCCCUAAGUUAUCACUAAGUGGGAAACGAUGUGGGAGUGCUUAGACAACCAGGAGGUUGGCUUAGAAGCAGCCACCCUUUAAAGAAAGCGUAACAGCUCACUGAUCAAGCGCUCCUGCGCCGAAGAUGUACCGGGGCUUAAGCCAUUCACCGAAACUGCGGGUGUACAUUUCUUUCGGGAUUUGUACGCGGUAGCGGAGCGUUCCGUAAGUCUGUGAAGGGUGACCCGCGAGGGCACCUGGAGAUAUCGGAAGUGAGAAUGCUGACAUGAGUAGCGACAAAGAGGGUGAGAGACCCUCUCGCCGAAAGUCCAAGGGUUCCUGCGUAAAGCUAAUCUGCGCAGGGUUAGCCGGCCCCUAAGGCGAGGCAGAAAUGCGUAGUCGAUGGGAAACGGGUUAAUAUUCCCGUACUUAUAUAAUCAGUGAUGGAGGGACGGAGAAGGCUAGGCAAGCUUGGCGUUGGUUGUCCAAGUGAAAGUGAGUAGGCUGAAGACUUAGGUAAAUCCGGGUUUUCAAGGCCGAGACACGAGACGAGCUCCCAAGGGAGUGAAGUUGUUGAUGCCCUGCUUCCAGGAAAAGCUUCUAAACUUAUGAUUAUAUGAACCGUACCCCAAACCGACACAGGUGGUCAGGUAGAGAAUACCAAGGCGCUUGAGAGAACUCGGGUAAAGGAACUAGGCAAAAUGGUGCCGUAACUUCGGGAGAAGGCACGCUGGUGGUAAGUGAAAUCCCUGCGGGUGGAGCUGAAGCCAGUCGAAGAUACCAGGCCCCUGCGACUGUUUAUUAAAAACACAGCACUGUGCAAACA